GACUGUAUUGCUGUGAAUAUAAAAGCACCAUGCAUAUAACAAUGAAAGGUUUUGUAUUAUGGGAAAAGUCCUGGAGCUUGAAGAAAGAACUUCUGUUAAUUUGCAGGUAAACCACUCCCAGAACACUAGCAGGAAAGAUGGGUCCGUUAAAAGGAGGAGAGCAAAACAAAGGAAUGAGGACUAGUGACACAGGAAAUCCUACCAUGGAAAGGGAUUAACCUGGAAUUCAAGGGGGAAGGAAAAACGCUUUCUCCUUAAACCCAAAGCAUCUUCAAGAUCCUGCUUUCAAAUCUUUGGGGUAUAUACCAGAAGUGGAAUUGCUGGAUUAUAUGCACACAUGAUGAAGACGAGUUAAACUUGGCCCAUAUUCAACUCUGGAAGGCAUCAUCAUUGGUGACAGCCAGCCUGUUCACAAGACAGAUCAUUGGUAUCUGUUCUUUGCAAAGCAUUGUUAACCAAGGCCUGAACUCAUGUUGCUAAGGAAGUUGCUUGUAUAGCCAAAACAGAUACAAAGCAGUAUUGAAAGUUGCACAAUUGUUCAACUUCCUUGAGUGAAACAUUUGUAACUCUCUAAAACUUAGAGUCAAAGACUGUGUUGCCUUUCCUUAGGUACUGCUGGUUGUAUGUUCUAAGGUUUUUAAAUAUUUGUAUUGCUUUCUAUGGUAUUUACACAAGUUACAUUUAUUGCUGUGAAAAAGUAAACAACACAAAGUGGAAAGUUGACAGACGCGUCCCCUGGGCUGUUCCAGCCCCACCCAAGCCUCUCCCUUUCUCAGAAAUAAACACUGCUAUGAAUGUGG